ensembl:snRNA U1 U1 spliceosomal RNA
AAACUAAAGAAGUAAAGAAGGUGAAGAUAAUAAACCCUUGGCCAUGGAAAUACCAUGAUCACCUCCCAGGGUGAGGCUCAGGUUGUGCUGACCUCUGCAAUUUUCCCAAAUGUGGGAAACUCGACUUAAUAAUUUGUUAAUGGGAGACUGUGUUCAUCUUCUUUU